AAAUAAUUCAUAAAUUAUAAUUUUUUGCCAAAAAUAGUAAGAUGAGUAGAAAAUAUUAUUUAUACAAUAUUUUGAAGUACCAGUAAUAAAUUAUAGGAGUAAAAAAUAAAUUUUGCAGAACGGUUCUUUUUCUAGAAUUGAUGACCCCCAUGUGGAUUUCUGCAAAAGAGGAACUAAAUAAAUAAACAAACAAAUAAUUUAUAUAAAUAAAAGAAUUGCAUGUGGCUUAAAUCCUGGAGCUAACUAAAUAUGAUUGGAAUUGGGUAUUGCUCGACUGUUGGAAAUUCCAAGAGUUACCUCUCAUUUU
rnacentral:lncRNA from 1 species